ensembl:lncRNA
AUGAGGAAACAACCCAACAUAGUGAUUUUUGAUCUGUUCAUUACCCAGCUGCAGAGGGACAUCCUGGUGGCUGGGCCACCCAACGGCAGAUGUGAGGGGAGCUGCAGUACAACAGAAUUACCCCCUAAAAUACAUCACACUCACUCUCAGGAUUCACAAGUUAGAAAGACUCCAGAGAACCACAAAAACACACAGCCCGUGUGUGACAUGGUUUCAGCUGGUGGGGGAUGGAAGGUGUUGAUGAACAAACUGACUUUAAACCGAACCUGGCAGGAGUACCUUGAUGGAUUCGGCUCCCCGCAGACAGAGCACUGGUUAGGGAAUGCAGUUCUGCACUAACCGCCAAUGGGCAUCACACGCUCCGUAUCACUCUCCAAGACUGGGAUGAACAGACACGUCAUGCUAACUAUAACAACUUUAAAGUGGCAGUAGUAAACCAGAGGUAUAUACACACAUAGUCAUACUAGUAUCUGGUGUAAGACUAGUGUCAAAGCAGAGUCUCAACAAACCUGUAUAAAAUAGGCCUAGUUCAGUUUCUUAUUAUGAUGCAUGUGUGAUAUUCUCUCCAUAAGGUUCUGCCUAACUGCUUGAGAUUACCAUGACGAUGCUGGCAAACAGUACAACCACGAUGGCAGAGUUUUCAGCACAUUUGUAACUGUGGCCAUUAUUAUGGUGCAGGCUGGUGGUUUGAUUCCUGUUUGGUCACUUACAUCAAUGGGCACUACUAUCAUGGGCAUUACAGUGGCAUCACGGAUGGCAUCUACUGGGGCACCUGGUAUAUCCUAACUGACUAUCACACAGGGGAAAGAUACUCAUUUAAGAGUGUUGAAAUGAAAACUAGACCAAAGCGGAGUUUAGGAAAACUUUUUUUUAAAUGACAAAUCCUUGUCAUGUAAUCAUACUCUUGCACUAUUUCAUUGUAGUAUUUCAUUUCAAUAAUGGCUUGUAAUUAUAUAACCUUGACCUGCCAUUAAACUUGAGAUUUUUAGAUAAUUGUAUGAUAUGAGAACAUAUUUAUAAACAUUUGUUCUAAAAUAAAUGUCAUAUUUUAAGCA